GGGCCCGUGGCCUAGCCAGGAUAGGGCGCCGGCCUCCGGAGCCGGAGGUCCCGGGUUCAAAUCCCGGCGGGCCCG
rnacentral:tRNA from 2 species